GCGGGCAUAGCUCAGUUGGUUAGAGCGCAGGUUUGUGGUAUCUGAUGCCGUCGGUUCGAGUCCGAUUGCCCGCCCCA
rnacentral:tRNA from 1 species